rnacentral:rRNA from 1 species
UAGAAGAGAUAAUGCUAGAAUAAGUAAUAAGAAAGUACUAAACUUUCUCCAGGCGCAAGUGUAAGCCAGACCGGACAAACCACUGGCAAUCAACGGACCCAGAUCCGAGGGGAUAACAAUAAAAAUAAAUACACAAGAAAACCCUGCACCAAGAACCGUUAACCCAACACAGGUGCGCCAACUAAAGGAAAGACUAAAAGGAGAGGAAGGAACUCGGCAAACACUAACCCCGCCUGUUUACCAAAAACAUCGCCUCUUGCUAAAAAGAAUGUAUUAGAGGUCCCGCCUGCCCUGUGACCACUGUGUUUAACGGCCGCGGUAUCAUAACCGUGCGAAGGUAGCGUAAUCACCUGUCCUUUAAAUGAGGACCUGUAUGAAUGGCACCACGAGGGUUUGACUGUCUCCCUCCCCCAGUCAAUGAAAUUGAUCUGUCCGUGCAGAAGCGGAUAUAAGAACAUAAGACGAGAAGACCCUAUGGAGCUUUAGGCUAAAGGCUCAAACAUGUAAAAAAAUCUCUCACAAACGAAAUGUAAACAAAGAAGAUUUAAACCCAAUGUCCUGCUGGCCAGAUGCCUUCGGUUGGGGCGACCACGGGGAAUAACAAAACCCCCGAAUGGAAUGAAAACAUUUUCCUAAACCAAGAAAUACACUUCUAAGCAACAGAAAAUCUGACCAAAUAUGACCCGGGAUAUAGACCAACCCGAUCAAUGAACCAAGUUACCCUAGGGAUAACAGCGCAAUCCUUUCUCAGAGUCCCUAUCGACGAAAGGGUUUACGACCUCGAUGUUGGAUCAGGACAUCCUAAUGGUGAAGCCGCUAUUAAGGGUUCGUUUGUUCAACGAUUAACAGUCCUACGUGAUCUGAGUUCAGACCGGAGCAAUCCAGGUCGGUUUCUAUCUAUGACUUUACUCCUCCCCAGUACGAAAGGACCGGGAAAAGGGGGCCCAUACUGAAAACAAGCCCUAUCUCAACUUCUUGAAAACAAAUAAAAGAG